AGAGUUUGAUCCUGGCUCAGGAUGAACGCUGGCGGCGUGCUUAACACAUGCAAGUCGAACGGGAAUUACUUUUUAGCUUGCUAAGUUGUAAUUCUAGUGGCGGACGGGUGAGUAACGCGUGGGUAACCUGCCUUAUACCGGGGGACAACAGUUGGAAACGACUGCUAAUACCGCAUAAGCGCACAGUAUCGCAUGAUACAGUGUGAAAAACUCCGGUGGUAUAAGAUGGACCCGCGUCUGAUUAGCCAGUUGGCGGUGUAACGGACCACCAAAGCGACGAUCAGUAGCCGGCCUGAGAGGGCAAACGGCCACAUUGGGACUGAGACACGGCCCAAACUCCUACGGGAGGCAGCAGUGGGGAAUAUUGCACAAUGGAGGAAACUCUGAUGCAGCGACGCCGCGUGAGUGAAGAAGUAUUUCGGUAUGUAAAGCUCUAUCAGCAGGGAAGAAAAUGACGGUACCUGACUAAGAAGCCCCGGCUAACUACGUGCCAGCAGCCGCGGUAAUACGUAGGGGGCAAGCGUUAUCCGGAUUUACUGGGUGUAAAGGGUGCGU
rnacentral:rRNA from 1 species